UACGAAGGGGGCUAGCGUUGUUCGGAUUUACUGGGCGUAAAGCGUGCGCAGGCGGUUUUGUAAGCCAGAUGUGAAAGCCCCGGGCUUAACCUGGGAAUGGCAUUUGGGACUGCAAGGCUGGAGUGUGGCAGAGGAGACUGGAAUUCCUGGUGUAGCAGUGAAAUGCGCAGAUAUCAGGAGGAACACCGGUGGCGAAGGCGGGACUCUGGGCCGAUACUGACGCUGAGGAGCGAAAGCGUGGGGAGCAAACAGG
rnacentral:rRNA from 1 species